UGGAGCCAAUGUUGGGAUACCACCCUUGCGAUAUUGGGUUUCUAACCUGCAGCCGUGACCCGGCUGGGGGACAAUGUCAGGUGGGGAGUUUGACUGGGGCGGUCGCCUCCGAAAGGGUAUCGGAGGCGCUCAAAGGUUCCCUCAGAAUGGUUGGAAACCAUUCGCAGAGUGCAAAGGCAUAAGGGAGCUUGACUGCGAGACCGACGGGUCGAGCAGGUACGAAAGUAGGACUUAGUGAUCCGGUGGUAGAAAGUGGGAUUGCCAUCGCUCAACGGAUAAAAGCUACCCUGGGGAUAACAGGCUUAUCACUCCCAAGAGUUCACAUCGACGGAGUGGUUUGGCACCUCGAUGUCGGCUCAUCGCAUCCUGGGGCUGUAGCAGGUCCCAAGGGUUGGGCUGUUCGCCCAUUAAAGCGGUACGCGAGCUGGGUUCAGAACGUCGUGAGACAGUUCGGUCCCUAUCCGGCGCGGGCGUAGGAUAUUUGAGAGGAGCUGUCCUUAGUACGAGAGGACCGGGAUGGACGGACCGCUGGUGUAUCUGUUGGGUACCAAGCCCAUGGCAGAGUAGCCAAGUCUGGACGGGAUAAACGCUGAAGGCAUCUAAGCGUGAAGCCCCCCUCAAGAUGAGAUAUCCCAUAGCGAAAGCUAGUAAGACCCCUUGAAGACGACGAGGUAGAUAGGUUAGAGGUGGAAGUGCAGUAAUGUAUGGAGCUGACUAAUACUAAUCGGUCGAGGGCUUAACCAA
rnacentral:ncRNA from 1 species